CAAAGAGGUUUGAUGCAUAUUUUAAAGUGCAAUUUAAAGACUGCAAAGAAAGGUAUAUCAUGAGAACAUCUGUGACAUCUCAAGGAUGAAGCUGAUAAUUUUUCUGGGUCUGUUAAGCAUCACCCUUGGCUUCCCUGUGGGGCCACCAUUAGAUAAGAGAGAGAGGCGAAGAUGUCAGCUGGGUUUUGGUUAUGGACACAUGCACGCUUAUCCAUUCUAUCAUCCAUUCCUUCAGCCUGAUCAUCAGGACGUCUUCAUUCCUGAAAUAUACAUCCGCGAUCCCCCAAAACCUUCUAUUCCCAGGCCACCUGCUCCCAAACCAGUCACCCCAGGCCAACCACUACCUCAAUGGUGCGGUCAGUCACUUUCGAUGGCUCCCAGACCGAUGACCCCUGUCCUCCAUCCAGAGGUGAUGUAAAAACCUACCCUCUUCCCAUUUUCUUCUACGCUGACCCCAAAGACUGGAGCUCGAUGGGUGUGGACACAUCUGCUAUUGGUCAACCUGGAUCCAAUGUUCUUCAGCCAGCUUUUGUCCUCAUACCUGGUGUGUUCCACCCUGCAUCUGAGAGCAGCCAAGUUCCCCAAAUUCCAUCGCAAAAUAUUGAUGAGCUCAAAGCUGUGGGGGCUUUGAAGGCUUCUGAAUCUGACAGGAAACAGAAAGGUUGUUAAAUUAACAUUUAAAAGAUAGAUCACCCAAAAAUCAUAAUUCUGAUGUUUGAAUCAACACUGAUGUUUAAAAUCCCCUUGACUGAC